rnacentral:rRNA from 1 species
UACGUAGGGGGCAAGCGUUAUCCGGAUUUACUGGGUGUAAAGGGAGCGUAGACGGCGAUGCAAGCCAGAUGUGAAAGCCCGGGGCUCAACCCCGGGACUGCAUUUGGAACUGUGUGGCUGGAGUGUCGGAGAGGCAAGUGGAAUUCCUAGUGUAGCGGUGAAAUGCGUAGAUAUUAGGAGGAACACCAGUGGCGAAGGCGGCUUGCUGGACGAUGACUGAUGUUGAGGCUCGAAAGCGUGGGGAGCAAACAGG